GACGAACGCUGGCGGCGUGCUUAACACAUGCAAGUCGAACGGAAAGGCCCUGCUUUUGUGGGGUGCUCGAGUGGCGAACGGGUGAGUAACACGUGAGUAACCUGCCCUUGACUUUGGGAUAACUUCAGGAAACUGGGGCUAAUACCGGAUAGGAGCUCCUGCUGCAUGGUGGGGGUUGGAAAGUUUCGGCGGUUGGGGAUGGACUCGCGGCUUAUCAGCUUGUUGGUGGGGUAGUGGCUUACCAAGGCUUUGACGGGUAGCCGGCCUGAGAGGGUGACCGGCCACAUUAGGACUGAGGGACGGCCCAGACUCGUACGGGAGGCAGCGGCGGGGAAUAUUGCACAAUGGGCGGAAGCCUGAUGCAGAAGCGCCGCGUGCGGGAUGACGGCCUUCGGGUUGUAAACCGCUGUCGCCUGUGACGAAGCGUGAGUGACGGUAAUGGGUAAAGAAGCACCGGCUAACUACGUG
rnacentral:rRNA from 1 species